CCUACGGGAGGCAGCAGUAGGGAAUAUUGCUCAAUGGGGGAAACCCUGAAGCAGCAACGCCGCGUGGAGGAUGAAGGUUUUAGGAUUGUAAACUCCUUUUGUUAGAGAAGAUUAUGACGGUAUCUAACGAAUAAGCACCGGCUAACUCCGUGCCAGCAGCCGCGGUAAUACGGAGGGUGCAAGCGUUACUCGGAAUCACUGGGCGUAAAGAGUGCGUAGGCGGGGUAAUAAGUCAGAUGUGAAAUCCUGUGGCUUAACUACAGAACUGCAUUUGAAACUGUUACUCUGGAGUGUGUGAGAGGUAGGUGGAAUUCUUGGUGUAGGGGUAAAAUCCGUAGAGAUCAAGAGGAAUACUCAUUGCGAAGGCGACCUGCUGGAACAUUACUGACGCUGAUGCACGAAAGCGUGGGGAGCAAACAGGAUUAGAUACCCCUGUAGUC
rnacentral:rRNA from 1 species